ensembl:snRNA U6 U6 spliceosomal RNA
GUGCUCACUUUGGCAGCAUGUAUACUAAAAUUGGAACGAUACAGAGAAGAUCAGCCUGGCCCCUGCACAAGGAUGACAUGCAAAUUUGUGAAGCGUUCCAUAUUUUU